GGAUAACGUUACGGGAAACCGGAGCUAAUACCGGAUAAUAUAUUGAACCGCAUGGUUCAAUAGUGAAAGACGGUUUUGCUGUCACUUAUAGAUGGAUCCGCGUCGCAUUAGCUAGUUGGUAAGGUAACGGCUUACCAAGGCAACGAUGCGUAGCCGACCUGAGAGGGUGAUCGGCCACACUGGAACUGAGACACGGUCCAG
rnacentral:rRNA from 1 species